rnacentral:lncRNA from 1 species
AUGACUCUUUAUAAUAUAAAAGAUAGAUUUAUGUUUUCACUGUUCAAUCAUAUCAUAAAUUUAAAUUGUGAAAAUAAAGGCAUACUUUUUUGUCCACAUAACACAAUAGUUCUUACCCAGGGACGGUUUUUGUUUUCUGGGAGAAAUUUGCCAAAAUCUGAAGACAUUUCUGAUUGUCACCAGAGAGACCACUACGGGCAGUUAGUGGGUGGAGACCUGGACUAUUUAACAAAACACCCUAUGAUGCAUAGGAAAGCCUUCCUUAAACCCUCCAUCCAUGAGUUGCCUCUCUGUGCUGACCGGUGA